rnacentral:rRNA from 1 species
AACGAACGCUGGCGGCAGGCUUAACACAUGCAAGUCGAACGGCUGUAGCAAUACAGCAGUGGCAGACGGGUGAGUAACACGUGGGAACCUUCCUAGGGGUACGGAACAACUCAGGGAAACUUGAGCUAAUACCGUAUACGUCCGAAAGGAGAAAGAUUUAUCGCCCUUAGACGGGCCCGCGUCGGAUUAGCUAGUUGGUGGGGUAACGGCCUACCAAGGCGACGAUCCGUAGCUGAUCUGAGAGGAUGAUCAGCCACACUGGGACUGAGACACGGCCCAGACUCCUACGGGAGGCAGCAGUGGGGAAUCUUGGACAAUGGGCGCAAGCCUGAUCCAGCCAUGCCGCGUGAGUGAAGAAGGCCUUAGGGUUGUAAAGCUCUUUUGGCAGGGACGAUAAUGACGGUACCUGCAGAAUAAGCCCCGGCAAACUUCGUGCCAGCCGCCGCAGUAACAC